UGGGGAAUUGUUCGCAAUGGGCGCAAGCCUGACGACGCAACGCCGCGUGGAGGAUGAAGACCUUCGGGUCGUAAACUCCUUUCGAUCGAGACGAAUGGCCUCCGGGUGAACAAUCCGGAGGAGUGACGGUACCGAGAGAAGAAGCCCCGGCUAACUACGUGCCAGCAGCCGCGGUAAUACGUAGGGUGCGAGCGUUAAUCGGAAUUACUGGGCGUAAAGCGUGCGCAGGCGGCGACAUAAGACAGAUGUGAAAUCCCCGGGCUCAACCUGGGAACUGCGUUUGUGACUGUGUUGCUAGAGUGUAGCAGAGGGGGGUGGAAUUCCACGUGUAGCAGUGAAAUGCGUAGAGAUGUGGAGGAACACCGAUGGCGAAGGCAGCCCCCUGGGUUAACACUGACGCUCAUGCACGAAAGCGUGGGGAGCAAACAGGAUUAGAUACCCCAGUAGUCCCUGAGCGGGCUGGCAAGGCGCAU
rnacentral:rRNA from 1 species